rnacentral:rRNA from 1 species
ACUGAAACAUCUAAGUACCCUGAGGAAAAGAAAUCAACCGAGAUUCCCUUAGUAGUGGCGAGCGAACGGGGACUAGCCCUUAAGUGGCUUUGAGAUUAGCGGAACGCUCUGGAAAGUGCGGCCAUAGUGGGUGAUAGCCCUGUACGCGAAAGUCUCUUAGUCAUGAAAUCGAGUAGGACGGAGCACGAGAAACUUUGUCUGAAUAUGGGGGGACCAUCCUCCAAGGCUAAAUACUACUGACUGACCGAUAGUGAACUAGUACCGUGAGGGAAAGGCGAAAAGAACCCCGGAGAGGGGAGUGAAAUAGAUCCUGAAACCGUAUGCGUACAAGCAGUGGGAGCAGACUUUGUUCUGUGACUGCGUACCUUUUGUAUAAUGGGUCAGCGACUUAUUUUCAGUGGCGAGCUUAACCGAAUAGGGGAGGCGUAGCGAAAGCGAGUCUUAAUAGGGCGUCUAGUCGCUGGGAAUAGACCCGAAACCGGGCGAUCUAUCCAUGGGCAGGUUGAAGGUUAGGUAACACUGACUGGAGGACCGAACCGACUACCGUUGAAAAGUUAGCGGAUGACCUGUGGAUCGGAGUGAAAGGCUAAUCAAGCUCGGAGAUAGCUGGUUCUCCUCGAAAGCUAUUUAGGUAGCGCCUCAUGUAUCACUGUAGGGGGUAGAGCACUGUUUCGGCUAGGGGGUCAUCCCGACUUACCAAACCGAUGCAAACUCCGAAUACCUACAAGUGCCGAGCAUGGGAGACACACGGCGGGUGCGAACGUCCGUCGUGAAAAGGGAAACAACCCAGACCGUCAGCUAAGGUCCCAAAGUUAUGGUUAAGUGGGAAACGAUGUGGGAAGGCUUAGACAGCUAGGAGGUUGGCUUAGAAGCAGCCACCCUUUAAAGAAAGCGUAAUAGCUCACUAGUCGAGUC